rnacentral:lncRNA from 1 species
AUGCCAGCAACCAUAAAAAUGCUUGAUUUUUGUGUGCCCAUCACUCUAUGGUUUUCACCAUGAGAUUGCUAAGAAAAAAAGGGACCAAAUGUCUUUCUUGGGGCAUAAGGUUUGGGGUCGGUUCAUACCAUCUUGGCAUGUGCAAAGGAGGAGAUCGAUCUCCUCUUGAAUGAGAGACCUAGAAUCAUUCUAGGGUUUC